AAGGUGUAGUGGUUAUCACGUUUCGUUUACAGCAGCCGUCCAGCCCCUGUGCCGAAAAGGUCCCGCGUUCAAUCCGCGGCAGGAUCA